AUCUAUGGCCAUACCACCCUGAACGCGUCUGAUCUCAGAAGCUAAGCAGAGUCGGGCCUGAUUAGUACUUGGAUGGGAGAUAGCCUGGGAAUACUGGGUGCUGUAGGCU
ensembl:rRNA 5S_rRNA 5S ribosomal RNA